UGGGCUUCUUAUUGACUUAUGUAGAUAUUUAACUGCUUUUUGAUUAAAAAUACUGAGUAGUGAUUCAGUUUUGAAAAUGAUCAGAAUCUGUUAACCUGAGUUUACUCUUACAUUUAAUGACCAGAGAGUGCAUCAACUUGGAUAUGCUUUAAAGAAGCAUUUUAGGCAUGCUAAAAAUUUCUAGUUUGUACUUCUUCUUAAAUCUGUCUACCUUGAAAGAAAGAAAUGAAUGAAUUAUAUUCAAAUUAUAUUUAAAAACAACAACAAAAACCCACCAUAAACAAUUUUAAUGCAUAGUAAAUUCUGAUGGUUUUAUCCUGGUGUCUAGAUAGUGGUUUCUAUACUUUUGUUACAUUUUACUCCAAUUAAAAUGAUGAAAAACACAUACCCACAUUCUGAUUUUCAUAUAAGCCACAAAUUGCUAAUUCAUUUCCUACAGUGGGACUUGGUAUGGUUAUAGUUAGCUUAGUACAUUAAUGUGCUUUACUGAAUUUUCUAGUGUUUUUGUUGUUGUUGUUGUUGUUGUUGUUUUUGUUUGUUUGUUUUUUGGUGGAAUCAAUAUCAUCUCAUUUUUAAAAGACAAAUUAUAAUAUUUGAGUAAAUACAAUACUUAUUCUAACAGAUUAUACAACAUACAUGUAUAUAACAGCAAAUGGAUUUUGUUUUAAGUAUUUUACUGUAUUUUUUUAUUAUUAUUUUUAGUUCAUACCCGGUGGACUGUUCAUCAGAAGGCUCGCAUCAUGGAAAAUGUAUCUGUGAUAUCUUUCAUCUUCUCUCUUCAGUCUCCUGAAAGAUUUAAAAUUGAAGCUGAUGAAUUUCAAAUGAGUCCAUCUCUUAUAUUUGUCAUUUUCCAAGACAUUCUUGGCGUGCUUACACAGUAAUGAACCUGUAAUGCUAUUUCAAGCUGAUCCAACAAACCCUCAAGAUUGUGCACUUUGGACCUAACAAAUGUUUAUAUGUUUUCUUCAACAGAUAAUGAGAUAUGGAAAUGGAAAAAAAAAAAAUGUUUUCUGAGAUGAUUUUUUCCUAACUUUGGAUAUAAAGUAAAAAGGAAUAGGACUUUUAUUAAACUUAUUUUCAACAGGCACUAAUCUCUAGAAAAAGAAACUUUUUUUUUCUAAGGUAAGCAAGGUACGAAUAGCACUUUAGGCUAGUCAGUUAAAAUACCAACAUACAUGUAGUAUGAAAAUAGUGGAAUCCUGGAAUAGUGGAAAAGAAGGGAAUCCUGUCCCCUGUGUAAAUUUUGAGGCUCGUUUAUUUUAGCUCAUCUCGCAGGACCAAUUCAGUCUUCUUAAGUUUAUUUGAGGUAUUUGAUGCCCCGCGCACUGUUAUUUAGCGCUGUUCUGGUGUUAGUGCCAUAGCCGUGCCUCUGUUAUGUAUUCACAUAGUUUGCUG
rnacentral:lncRNA from 1 species